rnacentral:rRNA from 1 species
UUAGGCUGGAGAUUGGUGUGUAUGGUAUGAGGUUUUAUUAGUUUAAUGUGGUUGAUUAGUUGUUGGGUAGCGGUGGUCGGAGAGGUCUAUAUUGUUUUUUUUGAAGGAAGCGGCGAAUGCGGAGAACUGAAAGGAGCAGAGCGUCGGCAGGGUCAGAUGGGUAUAAGAGACGGGGAUAGGGCUGUGAAGCGGAUUCGUGAGGGUUCGUGGAGCGCUAUCGAGUGAGAAUGCAGGCAUGAGUAACGAGAGAGGGGUGAGAAACCCCUCCGCCGAAAGCCCAAGGGUUCCUGGGGAAGGCUAAUCCCCCCAGGGUGAGUCGGGAGCUAAGGCGAGGCCGAAAGGCGUAGUCGAUGCACAACUGGUUGAUAUUCCAGUACCUCCGUGCCCGCGCCAAGUCCAAUAGUUGCAACGUUGGGGCUGUUCAUCUUUAUGUUGAGCGAUCUGAUCGAGCGGCUGGCGGAUAGUUGACGGGGGACGCAGGAAGAUAAGUGAACCCGGGCGAUGGUAGUCCCGGGGUAAGCGUGUAGGCGGUUCCCGAUGAGAGUUGGGAGCGUUAACGCUGAGACGUGAUGCCGAGCGACAUACUGCGAAGUCACUGAUUCUAUGCUGCCAAGAAAAGCCCAGCAAUGAGUUGGCACGGAGCCCGUACCCCAUACCGACACAGGUGGGCGGGUAGAGAAUACUAAGGCGAGCGGGAGAACUAUGGUUAAGGAACUCGGCAAAAUAACUCCGUAACUUCGGAAGAAGGAGGACCUGCUUUGGUGAUGAGAUUUACUCUCUGAGCUGAGGUGGGUGGCACAGACCAGGGGGUAGCGACUGUUUACCAAAAACACAGCAGGGUGCGAAGCCGUAAGGCGAUGUAUACCCUGUGACGCCUGCCCAAUGCUUGAAGGUCACGGGGAACGGUUAGUUCUUUAUUGAGCGAAGCUGUGAACCUAAGCCCAAGUGAAUGGCGGCCGUAACUAUAACGGUCCUAAGGUAGCGAAAUUCCUUGUCGGGUAAGUUCCGACCUGCACGAAUGGCGUAACGACUUCCCCACUGUCUCAACCAUAGACCCGGUGAAAUUGAAGUACGAGUAAAGAUGCUCGUUAGCUGCGGAAGGACGGAAAGACCCCGUGGACCUUUACUAUAACUUGGUAUUGAGUUUUGAAUUGCGUUGUGUAGGAUAGGUGGGAGACUAGGAAGCAUUGGCGCUAGCUAGUGUGGAGUCAUUGUUGAAAUACCACCCUGCGUAAGUUGAAGCUCUAACCUCGGCCCGUUAUCCGGGUCAGGGACAGUGCCAGGCGGGUAG